GCUUGCUUUGUGCAAGCAGAAAGGGGGCCCUCACACAUAUGUGGGCUUAGUGGCUUUGGGGACUCCAGGAGUCCCUGCUUUAAAGAGGAGGCCAAACGCGCAGAGUCUAUCCGAGGGGCAGAGAUGGAUGAGGCGUUAGCCGAAGUCGGUGGGGCCGUUGGGACGCAGAAGUGCCGGGGAAGAGUAGCCGAGAGGGAAACAGAAAAAAUAUUUAUGGCCGCCGGGGUCUGGAAAGAGCCCCUGCCCCCCAAGGAGGGAACUCCUGCACAUAGCUCCCCCGGAAAGUUCUCUUCUUAUAGCCUUUUUCAAAAAGUACGGAGAGCUGAGGCGCGUUGAAUUUUUCUUUCCCGAACUUGGAGCCAAGUGAUUUUCAUGAAGGAAGCGAAGACCGGGUCUGGAUUCCUGCUAUGUCUACCUCAUUCUCUCCAGCCGGUGACCAGUUUGGUCUGAAAGGAGUUGGAGGGACGUGCGAUCCACUGAGUCACACGCAAAGAUUGAAGAAUCCUUCCUGGAUCCCUCGAAUUUGAACAACAUCGGGUGGAGGAAGGACCCUGCGAUUAUCAGCUCAACAAAAUAGCAAUGGAGCGAAAUAAAACAAAACAGGUCAAAGCCAAAGCUGUGCGCCGGGCUCAGAGAAAGGCCCAGAUUUCAAAUCGUAGGCAGCGCUGUGGCUGCCGAAGUGAAGGCGGCCAAGCAAGGCUGGAGCCCGGAUUGUUCAAACCUCAAACUGGGCUACCUUAGAUUUGGUGAGCUCCCAGGCCGAUUGGAGAUUCCCUAAAGAAAGAUGAUAGGGCCCAAGAGAUAAGCUAAAGGACUCUAGCCAGCUUUUUGCUUUUUCAUCCCCCCCCCUCCCCUUAGGCCUCUCCACCUGCCUGGGAAAUUGAUCCAGGGGCUUCUGUGCUUCGUUGGGAGCCACCACCGCCUCCUACCUACUCCUGCUUGGCUCCCUAAAGUCCAGAGACUUCUGACCCUCCAUGAGGGGGUACCAUUACCCCAGCACGUUAGCCCUCUGCCCUGUGUGCUGUGGCUCUCUUCAGUAAUGUCUUACAAAGAAGAAAGAACAGCUUGGAGCCAUGUUUACAUCUAGUUCUACGGAUCCAUUCACAUCUGGAGAGUUUAUUUAUAACUCCCUCUAUAACUCUCUCCGUUUGGAAGCACCGGUGGCUCUAUUGACAGACGGAUGUCUACAAAAUAUUGCUCUACUUCUAACCAUACCUAAAUGUGCUGUACUUGUGUUUACAGAUUUAUGCUUCAGGAAAAUAUAAUUAUUUCCAUUGUAUUUGUGCAUAUACAACAGUUGCAGAAGCAGAUUUAUAUACGGGAAAAUAUAUGACUCUCUUAUAGCCA